AACGAACGCUGGCGGCAGGCUUAACACAUGCAAGUCGAGCGCCCCGCAAGGGGAGUGGCGCACGGGUGAGUAACGCGUGGAUAUCUGCCUUUUGGUUCGGAAUAACCCCGGGAAACUGGGGCUAAUACCGGAUGGUUCCUACGGGAUAAAGAUUUAUCGCCAAAAGAUGAGUCCGCGUACGAUUAGCUAGUUGGUGAGGUAAUGGCUCACCAAGGCGACGAUCGUUAGCUGGUCUGAGAGGACGAUCAGCCACACUGGGACUGAGACACGGCCCAGACUCCUACGGGAAGCAGCAGUGGGGAAUAUUGGACAAUGGGGGCAACCCUGAUCCAGCCAUGCCGCGUGAGUGAUGAAGGCCUUCGGGUUGUAAAGCUCUUUUGGCGGGGACGAUGAUGACGGUACCCGCAGAAUAAGCCCCGGCUAACUUCGUG
rnacentral:rRNA from 1 species